rnacentral:rRNA from 1 species
GAUGAACGCUGGCUACAGGCUUAACACAUGCCAGUCGAGGGGAAACGGCAUCGAAAGCUUGCUUUUGAUGGGCGUCGACCGGCGCACGGGUGAGUAACGCGUAUCCAACCUGCCCAUCACUUGGGAAUAACCUUGCGAAAGUAAGACUAAUGCCCAAUGACAUCCCACGAAGGCAUCCGAAUGGGAUUAAAGAUUUAUCGGUGAUGGAUGGGGAUGCGUCUGAUUAGCUUGUUGGCGGGGUGACGGCCCACCAAGGCAACGAUCAGUAGGGGUUCUGAGAGGAAGGUCCCCCACAUUGGAACUGAGACACGGUCCAAACUCCUACGGGAGGCAGCAGUGAGGAAUAUUGGUCAAUGGGCGAGAGCCUGAACCAGCCAAGUAGCGUGCAGGAGGACGGCCCUAUGGGUUGUAAACUGCUUUUAUAAGGGAAUAAAGUGGGUCACGUGUGACUUUUUGCAUGUACCUUAUGAAUAAGGACCGGCUAAUUCCGUG